rnacentral:sRNA from 1 species
GCUGGGUGUGGUGGUGCAUUCCUGUAACCCUAGAAGCUCAGGAGGCUGAGGCAGGAGGAUUGCAAGUUCAAAGUCACCCUCAGCUAAAGUGAAACACUAAGCAACUCAGUGAGACCCUGUCUCUA